UUAUUAAAGCAAAAAAGCCUUUUGAACAAAAAGUCGUGAGAGCAGAGAAAAGUGUUUUUGCACUUUUUGCGUCUGAUUCCGUUCCCCUGAAGUCAGAACAGCUGGAGAUUCCUGCAACUGAUUGUGAAAAGACGGGAGAGUCUGAAUCUAAAAGUGUUUUGUAAAGUUUCUCACGGCGUCCAUUCCUCUCACAGAUUGACGUUUCCUUCUUUCCUCGGUUGUCUUUGGUCACUGACCUCCCCGUCCUCCUGCUUUCAGAUCAUCACGGCUCUGGAGGAGGACUGCACGGUUCAGAAGAUGCAGCCGGGUUACAGGCUGCAGCAGAUCGCCACUGCUGUGGAAAACAAGGUGACCGACCUAUGACCCUCAGAGCUCCGCCUGUCCUCCAACAUAUGCAGUACUACACCGACAUCCGUCAGACCAUCUCUGCCAGCGAUCAGGAGAUGAACUCGGCUCUGGCAGAGCUCUCUCGGAAUUAUGCACCAGAGGUCAACUGUCCUGUGGCGUUACAAUGAACUCUACAAGUAUAUCAACGAAUACUACGAUCAGGUCAGU